rnacentral:rRNA from 1 species
AUUGAACGCUGGCGGCAUGCCUUACACAUGCAAGUCGAACGGCAGCACGGGUGCUUGCACCUGGUGGCGAGUGGCGAACGGGUGAGUAAUAAAUCGGAACAUGUCCUGUAGUGGGGGAUAGCCCGGCGAAAGCCGGAUUAAUACCGCAUACGAUCUACGGAUGAAAGCGGGGGACCUUCGGGCCUCGCGCUGUAGGGUUGGCCGAUAGCUGAUUAGCUAGUUGGUGGGGUAAAGGCCUACCAAGGCGACGAUCAGUAGCUGGUCUGAGAGGACGACCAGCCACACUGGGACUGAGACACGGCCCAGACUCCUACGGGAGGCAGCAGUGGGGAAUUUUGGACAAUGGGCGAAAGCCUGAUCCAGCAAUGCCGCGUGUGUGAAGAAGGCCUUCGGGUUGUAAAGCACUUUUGUCCGGAAAGAAAUCCUUGGCUCUAAUACAGUCGGGGGAUGACGGUACCGGAAGAAUAAGCACCGGCUAACUACGUG